UGUUCUCCUGCCUGGGGAUCCUGUAAAAGGACACGAUCAAAGCUGGAGCUGAUGGAAACAGGACCCAGGAGACACCUGAAAUUAGUCCCUGCCUCCAGUCCCUCCAUUAAAUCUCUCCAAAAAGGAGCAGCUGACGGCAUUCUAGUGGCAACACAGGGCCCUCGAGACCACAGGCAAGCAGACACGUGGCCCAGAAGGAUUUCUGUGGGGGUUUUGCUUGUCCUGCCCAAGUGUUUGCCCAGCAGACUGCUCUUCUCGAGUUGCCAGGCGAGGUCACACCGCAGAGUCUCGCUGGGAGUGGGCACUUCAGACCCGGGUGCUGAUUCAGCUGGAAUGGAAGCAUCCAUUUCCUAAGCAGUCAGCCAGAGUUGAGCUUAAGGAGGCAAUACCCUUCUGGAUGGCCGUGAGUACCACAAGGGUAAAUAACCGACAUGGAUUUCAGGACAGUCUUACUUCACAUAGCAGACGUGUCCACUGGGCUCACAUUGGAUGGAGAAAAAUCUCGAUCUGUUUAAAGGAAGCUACAGGAAGCCAGCUGGCAAGAUGAGUGUUGUAAUGUGAGCAAACAUCCCUUAGCCAUCCAGCAGGUAUGAAGUUGUGUCGGUUUGGUUUGCUUAAAUCGGGAGCCACAUCUGAGAAGAAAAUCCAUUGUUCAGAAAGGACGCACCAUUGUAAAGAAUAUCAUGUGGACAAAGUUUUGGUGCUUUUUAGGAAGCAGUUUAGUGCUCUGGCUAAAUGAGGAUUAAGCAGAAAAGACUUUUUGUUUCAACUCCUGUUGCUGGAAAUCUCUCCAAAGAGUUCCCAUUCAAUCUCCUGCCUGGGUACAUAGCUGCCAGGGAACAGAAUUUAAUGUUUGAUGACUGAGUGACUUCCUUAGCUUCCAGUCUUUCUGAAUUUUAGUUCACUACGGUGCAAGGCUAUAGGCAGAAGUGUGGAAAACUGGAGUUACAUUUGGCAGCUUGGUCUGCAGAAGGUUCAGAAGAGAAAUUAAUUUGAAGUUAAAAACCAAAGAGUAACACGACUCCUAACGAGGCUUAUUUUUGUUUUGCUGUUCCUUGGUUUACUCCUGAAAGCAAAUCCAGUCUCUACCAUCACCUCAGGUGAGUUACUUCUAGGGGGCCUUUCUAGGGGGCUGGCUGAUUUCUAUGUCCUUACCUGGCUCUCCCAUUGUGUGUCUGAGAACCGUGGUGCUCUGGCCCCUUGAUAUUUUGCUCUUUUCUGCAUGCCAUGAUUGUAUCAGAACUCUCUGUGAAGGCAGCAGAUCAGUGCCACCGAGAAAACAGCAUGCUCCAGAGAGCUGCGUGUACCGAGUGUCAGUAUCUGGUGCCAUUCAAGAAGAUGGCAGGCUUUACAACAUUGGAUUCUCUUCCCAAACCGUCGGAAGGUGUGAAGUAAACAGCACUGGCCUCCCUUGAGAAGGCGAAGGAUGCAGGUCAUUCUGGUGUGAGGACUGGCUUGAUCUCACAGAGCCUCACAUCUGGAAUUUGGGGUCUUGGUCUCCAGAUGGGUGGCAAGGGAAGAUGCCAGGACAGGAGUCCUGCCUGGCUGGAUAAGCAAUCCCACGGCUGGCUUUAUGCCAUCCCGGUGCCUCCCCCACAUGCACUGCACAUUCAUUUCUCUACGCGUUCUUGUAGAUGACAGGAAAAUCUCACUUGGUAAAGCAGAUGUGUCCAUUGGGCCCCCGCUGGAUGAAGGAAAGUUUCCCUCUGCUUAAGACUUAAAGGGAACUGCAGGAUCUUCCCCAUAGCCACGUGUGGGAUGCUGGCCAUAUUCUCUCUCAUUGGACAGUGAGUGAGGAAGCCAAGACCCACCGGGCUUGGCAACUUGCUUGAGGUGGCACAGUUAACACUCAGGAGGCAGGGCUGGAACCCAGGCCCCUGAUGCCAGCCAACUGGCCUUUCUUCCACUUUGCUUCUGUGCCUUUAGAAGAAAGUUUCUAGGUGGGGAAUUCAAGGCACAGGCAGUAAUGUUUGCUCCUGGUCACUUGGUGAGUUGGGAGCAGAAUGGAGACUAGAAAUCAGAUCACCUGAAUCUCAGGCCAAGGUUUUGUUCCCAAAGGAGCAAUGGUUUUAGUACUGUGUGUUUCUGGUGGGCAUGGAACAUCCAUCAUGAGUGCUGUGAGCUAGGAGGCUUAGAGAGGAAACAGGAAAACAAGAAGGGGUGAGAAGAGAAGGAGAUGGAGGACAGCCAGGUGAACAAAGAUGGGGCCCGGUGCCACCGAAACAUGGAGACGUCUGCAGGGCACCUAACACACUGCUCCCGGCCCUCUGGCCUCAAUCCCUAUGGGUCUGCCUGGAGCCUCCUUUUUCAUCCUAUUUAGAUUCAUCCCAGUGCCUUCCCACUGAUGCCUUCUGGAGAGUUCCCAAGGCUGUUCACCCAGGCCUGCCUUCACCUGUCUUCCUCGGUGGUUGGAGCAAUCUGACCUCCCUCCCUUCCCACACAGCCUGCUCUCUGAGGGUGGCAGCUGCUGUAGUUAAUGAAUGGGUCCAAGCCACAGCCCACUGUGAUGGGGAGGCCAGGAGGUGUCUUCUCCUCACCCCCCGAAGGCAGAGCUCACCCAAGGGAGUGAAGGGGAAUAAAAGCUUUUUUUUUUUUUUGAGUCAGGGGCUCGCUCUCUCACCCAGGCUGGAGUAUAGUGGCUUGAUUACGGCUCACUGUAGCCUCAAACUCAUGGGCUCAGGUGAUCCUCCUGCCUCAGCCUCCUGAGUAGCUGGGACUACAGGUGCACGCCACCAUGCUCAGCUAAUUUAUUUUUUAUUUUUAGAAAAAGGGGUCUUGCGAUGUUUCUGCGGCUGGUCUCGAACUCCUGGCCUCAAGCAAUCCUCCCACCUCAGCGUCCCAAAGCACUAGGAUUAUAGAUGUGAGUCAUCACGCCUGGUCAAAGCUCUUCUUAAUUGCAAUAACAGAAGCCACUCAAAUAAGUUUAAGCAAAAAAGGGGCUCCACCAGGUUAUUUAAUGGAAUCAAGCCUCCAAAGGAAUGAAAACAUUAGCCAGAAAGUGCUCUAGCAACAGGGCAGCCCCCUCUCUCUACUCCGACUUCCCUUCUUUCCUUAGCACCCUCCAUCUGCACAACACAACCUGGCUCUCUCUGGCUCAGGAGGUCUCCGUGGUGCCAUCUGGUCUGUUCUCAGACAUGAAGGACUACAAGGGACCACAGGGGUCUGUUCUCAGACCUGACCCACUUCCUGCUGGUCAGGAGUGGGAGCAUGGAUGGUGAUCAGACGCCUUAAGGGGGACAUCCAGAGAGAAGCGAGACAAUCUAACCACUGUUAGUCUAUCACUGGACUCCAGCGCCAUGCCACCCUACACCCAGCUCCAUGCCACCCUACAUCCAGCUGUGUUGCCAGUUCUCCUGCAGCUCUGGGAGGGAGGAAACUUCUCCUCUGGGGCUGAAAGAGCUGUGUGGGUAAAUUCCAGGACUCUUAAAAAUAAUCUGGUCUAUAUAAGUUUUCCACUUAAAUAUAAACUCCACGAAGGCAGGAACCUUGUCUAGAGUCUUGUGUUUCAGCCUUGUAUCUCCAACACCUAGACCAUAGUUGGCAUUCAAAUAUUUGUUAAUUGAAUAAACGUAUUUAUUUUAAAACAGCUUCAUUGAGGUAUAACUGAAAUACAAUAACUGCACAUAUUUAGUGUGCUAUUUUGGUAAGUUUACACACACACACACACACACACACACACACACACACACCCCAUCACCAAUAAAAAUAAUGAACAUAUUAGGUCAGGAGUGGUAGCUCAAGCUUGUAAUCCCAGUACUUUGGGAGGGUGAGGCAGGCGGAUCACUCGAGGUCAGGAGUUCAAGACCAGCCUGGCCAACAUGGUGAGACUCCCGUCUCUACUAAAAAAAUAUAAAAAUUAGCUGGGCAUGGUGGUGCUUGCCUGUAAUCUCAGCUACUUGGGAGGCUGAGGCAGGAGAAUCACUUGAACCUGGGGGAUGGAGAUUGCAGUGAGCUUAGAUCACGCCACUGCACUCCAGCCUGGGCAACAGAGCAAGAUUCUGUCUCAAAAGAAAAAAAAAAGAACAUAUUCAUCAUCCUCAAAAUAUUCAUCAUUCCUCUUUGUAAUCCCUUUCCAUCCCUAGGCAACCACUAAUUUGUUUUCCAUCACUGUAGAUUAGUUUGCAUUUUCUAGAAUUUUACAUAAAUGGAACCACACAGAAUUUACUUCAUUUAUUUCUGUCAUCUUUCACUCAGCACAACUCUCCUGAGAUACAUCUGUAGUGUUGUGAAUGGUUUAUUCCCUUUUAUUGCCCAGUGGUGACUCCACUUUAUGGAAAGACUAGUGUUUUCAUUUGAAUGUUGAUGGACAUUUGGGUAGCUUUUAGGUUUUGGUUAUGGAAAAGCUGUGAUGAACAUUUGUAUACAAGUCUUUCUAUGAACAUAUGCUUUCAUUUCUCUUGGGUAAAUACAUAGAAGUGAAAUGUCUGGAUCAUAUGACAGAUGUAAGUUUUACUUUUAAAGAAACUGCCAAAUCAUUUUCCAAAAUGGUUAUAACAUUGAUUUUCAAAUAUUAAAUGAAAUUUGCAUUCCUGGGAUAAAACACUCUUGGUCAAUAUGUAUUAUCCUUUUUAUAUAUUGUUGGCUUCAAUUUGCUAAAAUUUUGUUUAGAAUUUUUGCAUCAAUAUUAAUGGAAGAUAUUAAUCUGUCACUUGCUUUUCUUAUACAGGUUUUUGUCAUGUUUUGCUAUCACAAUAAGGUUUAGAAUGAGUUGGGAAGUAUUCUCUUCAAUUUUUGGGAGAGUUUGUAGAAUUGAUAUUAUUUAUUUCCUAAAUAGCGGUAGAAUUCACCAAUGAAGCUAUUUGGGCCUGGAGGGUAUUUUUUUCUUUGUGGGAAGAUUUUAAACUACAUAUACGAUGCUUUUCAUAGAUAUAAGGUAUUCAAAUUAUCUCUUAAAAUUUUUUUCAAGAUAUAAUUCACACGUCGUAAAAUUCACCAUUUUAAAGUGUACUAUUUAGUGGGUUUUAGUUUAUUCACAAGGUAAUACAAUCAUCACUACUAUCUAAUUCCAGAACAUUUUCAACAACCUAACAAAAAACUCCAUACUCAUUAGCAGUCAUGCCCCAUUUUCUCCCAUUUCUCUGCCCUGGGCACCACUAAUCUAUUUUCUGUCUCUAUGGGUUUGCCUAUUCUGUACAUUUCAUAUAAAUGGCAUCCUACAAUAUGUGGCCUUUGUGUGACUGGCUUCUUUCACUUAGGAUAAUGGUUUCAAGGUUCACUCAUUAUAGCCUGUAUCAGCAUUUUAUUCCUUUCUAAGGCCUGAAUAGUCAAAACAAUCUUGAAAAGGAACAAAGUUGGAGUAUUCAUACUUCCUGACUUCAAAACGGACUACAAACUGCAGUAGUUGAGAUAGCAUAGUACUGGAAUAACAGCGAUAUAUACAGCAACAAAAAAUGAAGUCUAGAAAUAACUCUUACAUUUAUAGUUAAGUGAUAUUUGCAAAGAUUCCAAGACAAUUCAAUGGGAAAAAAUAGUGUUUUCAAGAGAUGGUGCUGGGAUCAUUACCCACAUGCAAAAGAAUGAAGUUGGACCCCCUAUCUCAUACAAUGUAUAAAAAUCAACUAAAAAAUGGAUCAAAGACCUAAACUGAAGAGCUAAAACUACAAAAAUUGAAGAAAUCAUAGGCAUAAAUCUUCAUGACCUUGGAUUAGACAGUGGUUUCUUAGAUAUGAUGCCACAAACAAAAGCAGCAAAAGAAAAAGGACAUAAACUAGAUAUCAUCAAAAUGAAAAACUUCUGUGCUUCAAAGGACAACAUCAAGGAAGUGAAAAAGACAACACAAAAGAACUUGAGUUGAAAAUUUGGGUUGAAAUUUUUUUUGCAAUUAUCCAUCUAAUAAGGGACUUACAUUUGGAAUAUUUAAAAAACUUUUAUAAUUCAAUAAUUUUAAAAACCCAAUUAAAAAUGAACAAAGGGUCUAAAUAGACAGUUCUCCAGAGAAGAUAUACUAAUGGCCAAUUAGCACAUGAAAAGAUGUUCAACGUCAUCAGCCAUCUGGGAAAUGCAAAUCAAAACCACAAUGAAACACCACUUCACAUCCACUAGGAUGGCUAAAAUUUAAAAAAAAAAAAGUGUUGGUGAGGAUGUGGAUAAAUUGAAUCCUUAUACAUUGCUAGUGGGAAUGCAAAAUAGUGUGGCCCCUUUGGAAAACAGUCUGGUAGCUCCUCAAGCAGUAGCACAUGACCCAGUAAUUUCGCUCCUAGGUAUAUACCCAAGAGAAGUGAAAACAUAUCCACAUAAAAACUUGUACAUGAAUGUUCAUGGCAGCUUUAUCAUAAGAGCCAAAAAGUAGCAACAACCCAAAUGUCCAUCAGCUAAUGAAUGGACAAACAAAAUGUGACAUAUCCAAACAAUGAAAUAGUACUUGGCAAUAAAAAGAAAUGAAGUACUCAUACCUGCUUCAAUCACAUGGAUAAACCUUGAAAACAUUAUGCUGAGUGAAAGAAGUCACAAAGGACCACAUGUUGUGUGACUCUACUUAUGUGAAAUAUUCGGACUAGGCAAAUCCAUAGAUAGAGAAAGCUGACUAGUGGUUGUCUAAGGUUGGGGGAUGAGGGACCUUGUGGGGACAGGUGAUGCUGAAGGGGGAUGGGAUGAUGUUUCUUUUGGGGGUAAUGAAAAUGUUCUAAAACUGAUUCUGCUGAUGGACAUACAUUUCUGAAUACAUUAAAAGUCAUUGAAUUGUAGACUUUAAAUAGGUGAACUGUAUGGUAUGUUAAUAUAUCUCAAUAACAUUGUUUUUAAAAAGAGUUUAGGCCAGGCGCGGUGGCUCACACCUGUAAUCCCAGUACUCUGGGAGGCUGAGGUGGGCGGAGUACCUGAGGUCAGGAGUUCAAGACCAGCCUGGCCAAUGUGGUGAAACCCU
rnacentral:lncRNA from 1 species